AAAUUGCUGGUAUAAUCUCUCCGCCCACUAUGUGUAUAGGGCCUAUGUUUAUUAACCACGUGGCCGAACUAAAAGGUCACCUAGUCAACUUACCUAAGGUAUACGUUGGAGAAACAAAUUGUGAAAAUGCUGCCUUAGUGUUUAACAUGGAAUACAAUGAAAAGUUAUGUGACAAGGUGAACGGUAACUGUAACAAUCAAUGUUGGUGUGCAAAAAUGAAAGCUCUUUGUGCCCCUAGGUGUGCCUGUCCUAACCAGAUGGAUGAGGAUGAUUGGGAUUGUAAGACCCAAGUGCACAAUAAUAUGGAAAAAUGUGGAUUCGCUCGCCUAAUAGGAAGAAUGAUAACAGCCACAGAGAUGACCGUCUGAUGGCCCAGCCCAACUGCCCAUCUCUUCUGAGAGACCCCUCAGUUGUUGUAAGAGUUGGGUGGAAGACAUCAUCUCUGAAAGAGGGUCCCGCAGGUGCACUUCGACAGUUUGGACACCACCCCAGAGGGAGUUUAUCCCGAGAAGUGAUUUCGACGAGUCAGUCAUUCCGAUUCCAGCGAAUUCACCGAGUGGUCUCUGUGCCCUAGUGCACCUCUGGCUGCUGUUAUUAUUCUUACAGCUAGAUAGAUAGGUGUGUGAAUGCUUCAAUAAAGGUGUGUGAAUGCUUAGCAGAAUAGCAACCGCGAGGCAGUACUUAGUCAGUUCUCCCUCUUGCGUACAUCCUGUCUCAAUUGGUACUUUGUCACAUAAUAAAACCUGGGGGCAUCAGAGUACUGGGUGGACCUAAUUCGCCCGGGAAAAGCGGCUGCUAAAGGACAAGACUUUGACCUGCAGGUACCAAUUGACUGCGGGGUGUGGCAACAGAGUCAGGGUAGGCCCAGGUGCAUCUGUGGCUAUAUCAUCCCCAGUCACAGUCACACCACCUUCUUAGCAUUAGUAGUACUGCCAUUGUUACCUUUUAGUUUAUGUUUUUAUAUAUGUGUGAUAAUAAAAUUAUCAAAAGGGUGAGAAUUGUUAAGGAAAUUUAAGCAAUGUAUAGAAUCUAUUCUGACUUUUUAAUAUCAUGUAAUACGUAA